GUAAGCAAUAGUAGAUAAUACAAAAUUUAUGAAAACACAGAUCUCAUAUCACAAAAUAUGGUCAAGCCAUCUCUUCAUAUUAACUGCUCUUUGAAUUAAGUAUAUAAUACAUAUAGGGAUUGUGUGUGUUUUUUAAUCCAGUAGAAGAGUAAAAAAAGAAAGUCUCUGAGGCUUUAAGUGAGUAAAUCCUUCCUUGAGUACAAUUCUAGUUCUCCUUUCACCUACUAUCCUUUUAAUGGUAUGUACUUUGGAAUGUGCUGUGAAACAAAAGUCAUCUGUGCUGUUGAAGAUACUAGACUCUGAAUUAGGUUAGCUCUUAAUUGCUUUACUAGAUAUUCCUUACCCAAAUACCUCCUAAUGUAUUAAUAAUAAAGUGUUAGGAAUGGAGUUAUAAGUUUAACUUAAAUGAAAUCUUACUAUUUUUAAAUCACUGUAUUAUUUAGAAGGCAUUAAGAUAUUCUUGAUUUUAUUAUAAAGCCUAUUUGAUUAUGAAGUUCAUUAAUAUAUUUUUAAUUUUUUAGCAUUCCCAGAACUGUGGCGCAGGAACAGGUAUUUUCCUUUUGAUCAAUGCAUCGGUAAUUAUCAUCAUUCGAGGUCACCGCUUCUGCCUCUGGGGUUCUGUGUAUUUGGAUGCUCAUGGAGAGGAAGACCGGGAUCUUAGGCGAGGCAAACCUCUCUACAUUUGUAAGGAAAGAUACAAAGUUCUUGAGCAACAGUGGAUUUCUCAUACUUUUGAUCACAUCAAUAAAAGAUGGGGUCCACAUUACAAUGGGCUGUGACUCUCCACCUCA
rnacentral:sRNA from 1 species